rnacentral:misc_RNA from 1 species
CUCUCACGCCGACCAUUGUGAACAAUUCGCUAACUGCUUAAUAGGUGAACCUGCGGAAGGAUCAUUAUCGAGUAAGGGUGUUCCCAUCUGUGGCGCCCCGACCUCCAACCCUUUGUCUACUUGACCCUAUGUUGCUUCGGCAGGUCCGCCAGCGGGGAGCACCGCUCCCGCCGGCCGCCGGGGGGUUCUUGAACGACCCCGGGCCCGCGCCUGCCGACGGCCCUCCUACAUAAGUUCGUGCCUAAACGUGUAUGUCUGAGUGAGCAUAAAAUUCAAAAAUAGCAAAAACUUUCAACAACGGAUCUCUUGGUUCUGGCAUCGAUGAAGAACGCAGCGAAAUGCGAUAAGUAAUGCGAAUUGCAGAAUCCGUGAGUCAUCGAAUCUUUGAACGCAUAUUGCGCCCUUUGGUAUUCCGAAGGGCAUGCCUGUUCGAGCGUCAUUAUCACCCCUCAAGCUCGGCUUGUUGUUGGAACGUGGUGCCCGCAGUGCGGGCCGCCCUUCCCAAAGAUAAUGACGGCGUCUGCGAGGAUUCCUGUACACUGAGCUUUCGGGCACGUACUAGGCUUACUCCUCCGGACCCCGGUCGCACGUAAAUCUUACACUUCUAAGGUUGACCUCGGA